CACGACGCGAUGGGCCGCCUGCACUUCACGCAGGACCCGGUGCCCGAGGCCGUGGGCGGCGACCUGCAGCAGCUGAACCAGAUGGGCGCGCAGCAGUUCGCAGCCCUGACGGAAGUGCUUUUCCACUUCCUAACUGAGCCCAAAGAGGUGGAACGGUUCCUGGCUCAGCUCUCCGAGUUUGCCACCACCCAUCAGAUGAGCCUCAGCCCCCUCAAGAGCAUCGUGAAAAGCCUCCUCCUGGUUCCCAACGGGGCCUUGAAGAAGAGUCUUUCAGCUGAGCAGGUUCAGGCUGACUUGCUUACUCUAGGUCUGAGUGAGGAGAAAGCUACUUACUUUGCGGAAAAGUGGAAGCAGAAUGCCCCCACCCUUGCACAUCGGGCCAUGGGUCAGACUCUGAUGAUUAACCAGCUUAUUGAUAUGGAGUGGAAGUUUGGAGUGACCACCGGGAGCAGCGAGUUGGAGAAAGUGGGAAGUAUUUUUUUACAACUUAAGUUGGUGAUUAAGAAAGGGAAGCGUACCGAGAAUGUGUAUAUAGAGCUCACCUUGCCUCAGUUCUACAGCUUCCUGCACGAGAUGGAGAGAGUACAAGCAAGCAUGGCGUGCUUCAGCUGAUUCCUGUCCCCUCUCCAUGCCUCCUCCCAGCCUCUGCAGUGCUUCAGAGUCCAACCUGCUUCCCACAAACUCUGGUUUGGAGCUACUACUUCCUGCCACUCACUCAGACAUUUGUUAUAUGGUCUAGUGGCUCUUGUGCCUCUUGGAGUCCAUGGAGGAAACGUGAUGAGGCCUUGAGUCCUUGCCCAUCUCAGUCCCUGUUCCUCAGAAGUUGGGGCUGGUUGAUGCUGCCUCUUGAGGGAGCCUCAGGCCUCUUUCUGAACUUUCCAGGAGGGCAGGGUGUGUGUGUGCUUGACUGGGCAGGCUUUUUUGCUUUUGUUUU